rnacentral:rRNA from 1 species
UACGUAGGUGGCGAGCGUUGUCCGGAUUUAUUGGGUUUAAAGGGUGCGUAGGCGGCCCCGUUAGUCAGCGGUGAAAUACGGCAGCUCAACUGUCGAGGUGCCGUUGAUACUGCGGGGCUUGAGUGCGGUCGAGGAGGGCGGAAUUGACGGUGUAGCGGUGAAAUGCUUAGAUAUCGUCAAGAACACCGAUAGCGAAGGCAGCCCUCCAGGCCGCAACUGACGCUGAGGCACGAAAGUGCGGGGAUCAAACAGG